rnacentral:misc_RNA from 1 species
AAGUCGUAACAAGGUCUCCGUUGGUGAACCAGCGGAGGGAUCAUUACUGAGUGUAAAAACUCCCAAACCCACUGUGAACAUACCACUGUUGCUUCGGCGGAUGCGCCCCGGGCGCGCCCUACAAAGGCGUGCCCCGGAUCAAGGCCACCGCCGGGGGACCGAAACUCUUGUUUUCCUAAGGAUUCUCUGAGUGUGAUUAUUAAAUCAAAUCAAAACUUUCAACAACGGAUCUCUUGGCUCUA